CAAGGGCAGCUCGCAGCACCUCCGGAGCGCCAACACAGCCCCUCAGACAUCAGCAGUCACACUCUAAGCCAUAAAACUGUCACAUUUGGUAUUCUACCUGUGUCACAAGCAAGGGGCUGGGAGCAAGUGCUGGAGAGGAGGUACAGGAACAGCUCUGCAGAAACAGGAACAGCUAGGGAAGGAUUACCUCCGAAAGGAUUAUCUUUUAAACAAAGAAAAAUUUGGUACACUGCAAACAACUAACUCAAAUCAAAAGAAACAGAUUAAUCCAACAGGAUUAACAGCCUCACAUACAGGUCAGCCCCCACUCUAAUCCAGAGGUGAAACCAAAUUCAGCAACAGCCACAAACCUUGCCUCCUGAUGAUAUGAAAGAUUAUCAACUCUGGCAGAACCAGAAGGAAAGCCUAAGCUUCUAAACCUGCCCCUUUUGGAUGUGUGGGACACAAAUCCUCGUUGUUUCGGAAUGUAGAUAAAACACAGUAUAAAAGCAAGAGCAUAAGGGAUGGACAGAGGUAUUUCUUAUUGCUUCCUGAUGAGUGAAGGAGAAGUGAUACCUCAAACCAUGUCCUGCUCCAAGACAAGGGUAGAUGGCAA